rnacentral:rRNA from 1 species
ACGACCGCUGGCGGCGUGCUUAACACAUGCAAGUCGAACGGAAAGGCCCUGCUUUUGUGGGGUGCUCGAGUGGCGAACGGGUGAGUAACACGUGAGUAACCUGCCCUUGACUUUGGGAUAACUUCAGGAAACUGGGGCUAAUACCGGAUAGGAGCUCCUGCUGCAUGGUGGGGGUUGGAAAGUUUCGGCGGUUGGGGAUGGACUCGCGGCUUAUCAGCUUGUUGGUGGGGUAGUGGCUUACCAAGGCUUUGACGGGUAGCCGGCCUGAGAGGGUGACCGGCCACAUUGGGACUGAGAUACGGCCCAGACUCCUACGGGAGGCAGCAGUGGGGAAUAUUGCACAAUGGGCGGAAGCCUAAUGCAGCAACGCCGCGUGCGGGAUGACGGCCUUCGGGUUGUAAACCGCUUUCGCCUGUGACGAAGCGUGAGUGACGGUAAUGGGUAAAGAAGCACCGGCUAACUACGUG